rnacentral:rRNA from 1 species
UAGGUAACCUGCCUGGUAGCGGGGGAUAACUAUUGGAAACGAUAGCUAAUACCGCAUAAGAGUAGAUGUUGCAUGACAUUUGCUUAAAAGGUGCAAUUGCAUCACUACCAGAUGGACCUGCGUUGUAUUAGCUAGUUGGUGGGGUGACGGCUCACCAAGGCGACGAUACAUAGCCGACCUGAGAGGGUGAUCGGCCACACUGGGACUGAGACACGGCCCAGACUCCUACGGGAGGCAGCAGAC